rnacentral:rRNA from 1 species
GACGAACGCUGGCGGCGUGCCUAAUACAUGCAAGUUGAGCGCUGAAGGUUGGUACUUGUACCAACUGGAUGAGCAGCGAACGGGUGAGUAACGCGUGGGGAAUCUGCCUUUGAGCGGGGGACAACAUUUGGAAACGAAUGCUAAUACCGCAUAAAAACUUUAAACACAAGUUUUAAGUUUGAAAGAUGCAAUUGCAUCACUCAAAGAUGAUCCCGCGUUGUAUUAGCUAGUUGGUGAGGUAAAGGAUCACCAAGGCGAGGAUACAUAGCCGACCUGAGAGGGUGAUCGGCCACAUUGGGACUGAGACACGGCACAAACGCCUACGGGAGGCAGCAGGAGGGAAUCGUCGGCAAGGGACGAAAGUCUGAGCGAGCAACGCCGCGGGAGUGAAGAAGGUUUUCGGAUCGUAAAACUCGGUUGGUAGAGAAGAACGUGGGUGAGAGUGGAAAGCUCAGCAAGUGACGGUAACUACCCAGAAAGGGACGGCUAACUACGUG